GCCUACGGCCAUGCCACCCUGAACAAGCCCGAUCCUGUCUGAUCUUGGAAGCUAAGCAGGGUCGGGCCUGGUUAGUACUUGGAUAGGAGACCACCUAGGAAGACUGGGUGCUGUAGGCA
rnacentral:rRNA from 1 species